UGGAGUUGUGAAGUUCAAAACGAUUGCGCAAACGUACAGAGGAGUAACAGUUGUGAUGGUGAAUUUUGUAGCAAAUAAAAGGCAAAAGAAAAACAUUAGAAACAAAGUGUAAGUUUAAAGCCAAUCAAGGUUUUUGUUAAAAUUAAUUAGGAGCAGGUUUGUGGGGUUAUAAGUUCUAGUGGGAGAAAUUGUUAAUUUAGAUUACGCAAGCACAACUAGAAACUCAUUGCAGAGUAAACAUAUUUUAAACAAUUAAUUUUUUUUUAGGAAAAGUGUAUUUACAAAAUUUUUGCAAGACUAAAAAUUGUAUCGUGCAGUGUGGCGUAAUUUAUGUAUAAAGCACAAGGAGUGCAGACAAUACAUUUUCCACUACCUGAUAGGACGACUUACAUGAUUCAAUGGAAUAGUAUCCCAACGAAUACAACGUUUUCUAGUGACUCAUUAUGAGACGUCACGUCGCUUAUUCAGUCACCAGGCAAGCCAACCAGCCGUCCAAUCUUGUCUUCUCGUAAAUGAAAUGAGCCAAAUUUAGUUAGAUCCACAAAUGGUUCCAUCCAAAUGUCAAACCCGCAAUGUAAGUGGGUGAAGUUGAAAUUUCCAGAGAAACACAAUCACCACUAUGCGGAUGGUCAUAAUAAGCCCUAUAAAAACUUUUAUAAUAUUCAUGCAAACUCAACAUUAAGGACUGCAACCUAAACUACCCUUGUCAUAG
rnacentral:sRNA from 1 species